rnacentral:rRNA from 1 species
GGGGAAUAUUGCACAAUGGGCGCAAGCCUGAUGCAGCGACGCCGCGUGAGGGAUGGAGGCCUUCGGGUUGUAAACCUCUUUUAUCGGGGAGCAAGCGAGAGUGAGUUUACCCGUUGAAUAAGCACCGGCUAACUACGUGCCAGCAGCCGCGGUAAUACGUAGGGUGCAAGCGUUAUCCGGAAUUAUUGGGCGUAAAGGGCUCGUAGGCGGUUCGUCGCGUCCGGUGUGAAAGUCCAUCGCUUAACGGUGGAUCCGCGCCGGGUACGGGCGGGCUUGAGUGCGGUAGGGGAGACUGGAAUUCCCGGUGUAACGGUGGAAUGUGUAGAUAUCGGGAAGAACACCAAUGGCGAAGGCAGGUCUCUGGGCCGUUACUGACGCUGAGGAGCGAAAGCGUGGGGAGCGAACAGGAUUAGAUACCCUGGUAGUCCACGCCGUAAACGGUGGAUGCUGGAUGUGGGGCCCAUUCCACGGGUUCCGUGUCGGAGCUAACGCGUUAAGCAUCCCGCCUGGGGAGUACGGCCGCAAGGCUAAAACUCAAAGAAAUUGACGGGGGCCCGCACAAGCGGCGGAGCAUGCGGAUUAAUUCGAUGCAACGCGAAGAACCUUACCUGGGCUUGACAUGUUCCCGACGGUCGUAGAGAUACGGCUUCCCUUCGGGGCGGGUUCACAGGUGGUGCAUGGUCGUCGUCAGCUCGUGUCGUGAGAUGUUGGGUUAAGUCCCGCAACGAGCGCAACCCUCGCCCCGUGUUGCCAGCGGAUUAUGCCGGGAACUCACGGGGGACCGCCGGGGUUAACUCGGAGGAAGGUGGGGAUGACGUCAGAUCAUCAUGCCCCUUACGUCCAGGGCUUCACGCAUGCUACAAUGGCCGGUACAACGGGAUGCGACGCGGCGACGCGGAGCGGAUCCCUGAAAACCGGUCUCAGUUCGGAUCGCAGUCUGCAACUCGACUGCGUGAAGGCGGAGUCGCUAGUAAUCGCGAAUCAGCAACGUCGCGGUGAAUGCGUUCCCG